AUGCACGCUGGCGGCGUGCCUAAUCCAUGCAAGUCGAGCGAACGGACGAGAAGCUUGCUUUUCUGAUGUUAGCGGCGGACGGGUGAGUAACACGUGGAUAACCUACCUAUAAGACUGGGAUAACUUCGGGAAACCGGAGCUAAUAUCGGAUAAUAUUUUGAACCGCAUGGUUCAAAAGUGAAAGACGGUCUUGCUGUCACUUAUAGAUGGAUCCGCGCUGCAUUAGCUAGUUGGUAAGGUAACGGCUUACCAAGGCAACGAUGCAUAGCCGACCUGAGAGGGUGAUCGGCCACACUGGAACUGAGACACGGUCCAGACUCCUACGGGAGGCAGCAGUAGGGAAUCUUCCGCAAUGGGCGAAAGCCUGACGGAGCAACGCCGCGUGAGUGAUGAAGGUCUUCGGAUCGUAAAACUCUGUUAUUAGGGAAGAACAUAUGUGUAAGUAACUGUGCACAUCUUGACGGUACCUAAUCAGAAAGCCACGGCUAACUACGUG
rnacentral:rRNA from 1 species